rnacentral:rRNA from 1 species
GACGAACGCUGGCGGCGUGCCUAACACAUGCAAGUCAACUUGACGGAAGGAGCAAUCUGACCGUAGAGUGGCGCAAGGGUGCGUAACGCGUAAGUAACUUGCCCCAAGGUAAGGAAUAACGUCGAGAAAUCGGCGCUAAUACCUCAUAAUGCAGCGGAUCCGCAUGGAUAUGUUGUUAAAGGUUUACCGCCUUGGGAUAGGCUUGCGUCUGAUUAGCUAGUUGGUGUGGUAACGGCACACCAAGGCUACGAUCAGUAACUGGUCAGAGAGGAUGAUCAGUCACACUGGAACUGAGACACGGUCCAGACUCCUACGGGAGGCAGCAGUGAGGCAUAUUGGGCAAUGCUCGAAAGAGUGACCCAGCAACGCCGCGUGAGGAUGAAGGUAUUCUAUAUCGUAAACUCCUGUGAGAGCAGACGAAAGACAGAUUAUUAAUACUGGAUGACUGUAUGCUCA